GAUGAACGCUAGCGGCAGGCUUAAUACAUGCAAGUCGAGGGGCAGCGCGGGUAGCAAUACCUGGCGGCGACCGGCAAACGGGUGCGGAACACGUACGCAACCUUCCUCCGAGCGGGGCAUAGCCCAGAGAAAUUUGGAUUAAUACCCCAUAUCAUAGUUAAGAAGCAUUUCUUGAUUAUUAAAGAUUUAUCACUUGGAGAUGGGCGUGCGGCUGAUUAGGUAGUUGGCGGGGAACGGCCCACCAAGCCUACGAUCAGUAGCUGAUGUGAGAGCAUGAUCAGCCACACGGGCACUGAGACACGGGCCCGACUCCUACGGGAGGCAGCAGUAAGG
rnacentral:rRNA from 1 species